rnacentral:rRNA from 1 species
GACCUCAAAUCAGGUAGGACUACCCGCUGAACUUAAGCAUAUCAAUAAGCGGAGGAAAAGAAACUAACAAGGAUUCCCCUAGUAACUGCGAGUGAAGCGGGAAAAGCUCAAAUUUAAAAUCUGGCAGUCUUUGGCUGUCCGAGUUGUAAUCUAGAGAAGUGCUAUCCGCGCUGGACCGUGUACAAGUCUCCUGGAAUGGAGCGUCAUAGAGGGUGAGAAUCCCGUCUUUGACACGGACUACCAGGGCUUUGUGAUGUGCUCUCAAAGAGUCGAGUUGUUUGGGAAUGCAGCUCAAAAUGGGUGGUAAAUUCCAUCUAAAGCUAAAUAUUGGCGAGAGACCGAUAGCGAACAAGUACCGUGAGGGAAAGAUGAAAAGAACUUUGGAAAGAGAGUUAAACAGUACGUGAAAUUGCUGAAAGGGAAACGCUUGAAGUCAGUCGCGUUGUCCAGGGAUCAACCUUGCUUUUGCUUGGUGCACUUCCUGGUUGACGGGUCAGCAUCAAUUUUGACUGUUGGAAAAAGAUCAAGGGAAUGUGGCAUCUCUGGAUGUGUUAUAGCCCUUGGUUGCAUACAAUGGUUGGGAUUGAGGAACUCAGCACGCCGCAAGGCCGGGU